rnacentral:rRNA from 1 species
CCUACGGGAGGCUGCAGUGGGGAAUAUUGGACAAUGGGCGAAAGCCUGAUCCAGCCAUGCCGCGUGUGUGAAGAAGGCCUUCGGGUUGUAAAGCACUUUCAGUGGGGAAGAAAGCCUUGGGGCUAAUACCCUCGAGGAAGGACAUCACCCACAGAAGAAGCACCGGCUAACUCCGUGCCAGCAGCCGCGGUAAUACGGAGGGUGCGAGCGUUAAUCGGAAUUACUGGGCGUAAAGCGCGCGUAGGCGGUCUGAUAAGCCGGUUGUGAAAGCCCCGGGCUCAACCUGGGAACGGCAUCCGGAACUGUCAGGCUAGAGUGCAGGAGAGGAAGGUAGAAUUCCCUGUGUAGCGGUGAAAUGCGUAGAGAUCGGGAGGAAUACCAGUGGCGAAGGCGGCCUUCUGGACUGACACUGACGCUGAGGUGCGAAAGCGUGGGUAGCAAACAGGAUUAGAUACCCUAGUAGUC